rnacentral:tRNA from 3 species
GGUGGAUAUAGUUCAAUAGGUAGAACGACUGUAUGUGGCAUAGUAUGUUCCCUGUUCAAAUCAGGGUAUCCUCC